rnacentral:rRNA from 1 species
UAGGGAAUCUUCCACAAUGGGCGAAAGUCUGAUGGAGCAACGCCGCGUGAGUGAAGAAGGGUUUCGGCUCGUAAAACUCUGUUGUUAAAGAAGAACAUAUCUGAGAGUAACUGUUCAGGUAUUGACGGUAUUUAACCAGAAAGCCACGGCUAACUACGUGCCAC